UACGAAGGGGGCUAGCGUUGUUUCGGAAUUACUGGGCGUAAAGGGCUCGUAGGUGGCCAACUAAGUCAGACGUGAAAUCCCCCGGCUUAACCGGGGGAUGGCGUCUGAUACUGGAUGGCUUGAGUUCGGGAGAGGGAUGCGGAAUUCCAGGUGUAGCGGUGAAAUGCGUAGAUAUCUGGAGGAACACCGGUGGCGAAGGCGGCAUCCUGGACCGAAACUGACGCUGAGGAGCGAAAGCCAGGGGAGCAAACGGG
rnacentral:rRNA from 1 species